GAUGAACGCUGGCGGCGUGCCUAAUACAUGCAAGUCGAGCGAACAGACGAGGAGCUUGCUCCUCUGACGUUAGCGGCGGACGGGUGAGUAACACGUGGAUAACCUACCUAUAAGACUGGGAUAACUUCGGGACACCGGAGCUAAUACCGGAUAAUAUAUUUAACCGCAUGGUUCAAUAGUGAAAGACGGUUUUGCUGUUACUUAUAGAUGGAUCCGCGCCGCAUUAGCUAGUUGGUAAGGUAACGGCUUACCAAGGCAACGAUGCGUAGCCGACCUGAGAGGGUGAUCGGCAAAACGGGAACUGAGACACGGUCCAGACUCCUACGGGAGGCAGAAGUAGGGAAUCUUCCGCAAUGGGCGAAAGCCUGACGGAGAAACGCCGCGUGAGUGAUGAGGGUCUUCGGAUCGUAAAACUCUGUUAUUAGGGAAGAACAAAUGUGUAAGUAACUAUGCACGUCUUGACGGUACCUAAUCAGAAAGCCACGGCUAACUACGUG
rnacentral:rRNA from 1 species